UAUGCUUGUAACCAGAGGACUGCUGGUACAUGUGCGUGUGCACUCACAAGGAAACAUAUACACACACACACACGUAAAAAUACAUACACAAAAAACUAAUAG
rnacentral:miRNA from 1 species